rnacentral:rRNA from 1 species
GCCUGGCGACGGUUGUCCAGGUUCAAGUGCGUAGGCUUAAGAGUUAGGUAAAUCCGGCUCUUUUUAAGGCUGAGACACGACGUCGAGCACCUACGGGUGUGAAGUCAUUGAUGCCAUGCUUCCAGGAAAAGCCUCUAAGCUUCAGAUUGUAAGGAAUCGUACCCCAAACCGACACAGGUGGUCGGGUAGAGAAUACCAAGGCGCUUGAGAGAAC